rnacentral:rRNA from 1 species
GACGAACGCUGGCGGCGUGCCUAACACAUGCAAGUCGAACGGAAAGGCCCUGCUUUUGUGGGGUGCUCGAGUGGCGAACGGGUGAGUAACACGUGAGUAACCUGUCCUUGACUUUGGGAUAACUUCAGGAAACUGGGGCUCAUACCGGAUAGGAUCUCUUGCUGCAUGGUGGGCGUUGGAAAGUUUCGGCGGUUGGGGAUGGAAUAGCGGCUUAUCAGCUUGUUGGUGGGGUAGUGGCUUACCAAGGCUUUGACGGGUAGCCGGCCUGGGAGGGUGACCGGCCACAUUGGGACUGAGAGACGGCCCAGACUCGUACGGGAGGCAGCGGUGGGGAGUAUUACACAAUGGGCGGAAGCCUGAUGCGGCAACGCCGCGUGCGGGAUGACGGCCUUCGGGUUGUAAACCGCUUUCGCCUGUGACGAAGCGUGAGUGACGGUAAUGGGUAAAGAAGCACCGGCUAACUACGUG